GACGAACGCUGGCGGCGUGCUUAACACAUGCAAGUCGAACGGAAAGGCCCUGCUUUUGUGGGGUGCUCGAGUGGCGAACGGGUGAGUAACACGUGAGUAACCUGCCCUUGACUUUGGGAUAACUUCAGGAAACUGGGGCUAAUACCGGAUAGGAGCUCCUGCUGCAUGGUGGGGGUUGGAAAGUUUCGGCGGGUGGGGAUGGACUCGCGGCUUAUCAGCUUGUUGGUGGGGUAGUGGCUUACCAAGGCUUUGACGGGUAGCCGGCCUGAGAGGGUGACCGGCCACAUUGGGACUGAGAUACGGCCCAGACUCAUACGGGAGGCAGCAGUGGGGAAUAUUGCACAAUGGGAGGAAGCCUGAUGCAGCAACGCCGCGUGCGGGAUGACGGCCUUCGGGUUGUAAACCGCUUUCGCCUGUGACGAAGCGUGAGUGACGGUAAUGGGUAAAGAAGCACCGGCUAACUACGUG
rnacentral:rRNA from 1 species